GAUGAACGCUGGCGGCGUGCCUAAUACAUGCAAGUCGAGCGAAUGGAUUAAGAGCUUGCUCUUAUGAAGUUAGCGGCGGACGGGUGAGUAACACGUGGGUAACCUGCCCAUAAGACUGGGAUAACUCCGGGAAACCGGGGCUAAUACCGGAUAAUAUUUUGAACUGCAUGGUUCAAAAUUGAAAGGCGGCUUCGGCUGUCACUUAUGGAUGGACCCGCGUCGCAUUAGCUAGUUGGUGAGGUAACGGCUCACCAAGGCAACGAUGCGUAGCCGGCCUGAGAGGGUGAUGGGCCACACUGGGACGGGGACACGGCCCAGACUCCUACGGGAGGCAGCAGUAGGGAAUCUUCCGCAAUGGACGAAAGUCUGACGGAGCAACGCCGCGUGAGUGAUGAAGGCUUUCGGGUCGUAAAACUCUGUUGUUAGGGAAGAACAAGUGCUAGUUGAAUAAGCUGGCACCUUGACGGUACCUAACCAGAAAGCCACGGCUAACUACGUGCCAGCCGCCGCGGUAA
rnacentral:rRNA from 1 species